UACAGAGGGGGCUAGCGUUGUUCGGAAUUACUGGGCGUAAAGGGCGCGUAGGUGGCCAACUAAGUCAGACGUGAAAUCCCCAGGCUCAACCUGGGAACUGCGUCUGAUACUGGAUGGCUUGAAUUCGGGAGAGGGAUGCAGAAUUCCAGGUGUAGCGGUGAAAUGCGUAGAUAUCUGGAGGAACACCGGUGGCGAAGGCGACAUCCUGGACCGGUAUUGACGCUGAGGCGCGAAAGCCAGGGGAGCAAACGGG
rnacentral:rRNA from 1 species